GCUAUGGUCUAGUGGUAUGAUUCUUGCUUUGGGAGUUCUCUCGAAACUGCAAGAGGCCCCGCGUUCGAAUCGCGGUGGAGCCC